AUUGAGCCUUGAUGUGUAGGAUAGGUGGGAGGCUUUGAAGUGUGGACGCCAGUCUGCAUGGAGCCGACCUUGAAAUACCACCCUUUAAUGUUUGAUGUUCUAACGUUGGCCCCUGAUCGGGGUUGCGGACAGUGUCUGGUGGGUAGUUUGACUGGGGCGGUCUCCUCCUAAAGAGUAACGGAGGAGCACGAAGGUUGGCUAAUCCUGGUCGGACAUCAGGAGGUUAGUGCAAUGGCAUAAGCCAGCUUGACUGCGAGCGUGACGGCGCGAGCAGGUGCGAAAGCAGGUCAUAGUGAUCCGGUGGUUCUGAAUGGAAGGGCCAUCGCUCAACGGAUAAAAGGUACUCCGGGGAUAACAGGCUGAUACCGCCCAAGAGUUCAUAUCGACGGCGGUGUUUGGCACCUCGAUGUCGGCUCAUCACAUCCUGGGGCUGAAGUAGGUCCCAAGGGUAUGGCUGUUCGCCAUUUAAAGUGGUACGCGAGCUGGGUUUAGAACGUCGUGAGACAGUUCGGUCCCUAUCUGCCGUGGGCGCUGGAGAACUGAGGGGGGCUGCUCCUAGUACGAGAGGACCGGAGUGGACGCAUCACUGGUGUUCGGGUUGUCAUGCCAAUGGCACUGCCCGGUAGCUAAAUGCGGAAGAGAUAAGUGCUGAAAGCAUCUAAGCACGAAACUUGCC
rnacentral:rRNA from 1 species